rnacentral:rRNA from 1 species
ACGUAAUAGAUACCCGGGUAGUCCACGCCCUAAACGAUGUCUACUAGUUGUUGGUGGAGUAAAAUCCAUGAGUAAACGCAGCUAAACGCGUGAAGUAGACCGCCUGGGGAGUACGGUCGCAAGAUUAAAACUCAAAGGAAUUGACGGGGGCCCGCACAAGCGGUGGAUUAUGUGGAUUAAUUCGAUGCAACGCGAAAAACCUUACCUGGCCUUGACAUGCCACUAACGAAGCAGAGAUGCAUUAGGUGCCCGUAAGGGAAAGUGGACACAGGUGCUGCAUGGCUGUCGUCAGCUCGUGUCGUGGGAUGUUGGGUUAAGUCCCGCAACGAGCGCAACCCUUGCCAUUAAUUGCCAUCAUUUAGUUGGGCACUUUAAUGGGACUGCCGGUGACAACCGGAGGAAGGUGGGGAUGACGUCAAGUCCUCAUGGCCCUUAUGGCCAGGGCUUCACACGUAAUACAAUGGUCGGUACAGAGAGUUGCCAACCCGCGAGGGGUAGCUAAUCUCAGAAAGCCGAUCGUAGUCCGGAUUGUUCUCUGC